ensembl:lncRNA
UCUCUACUGAAUCUUAUUUUUUUUUUUUUUUUUGAAUAGGUACAUUGAAACAAACUGAUUCACUAGAAUGAAUCUGACUUUUGAAGGCUACAAAUGCAAGAGAAUAGUUUAGGAAAGUUUGUUUGAAUAUUGAUUCUUAUAUGAUUGACUCUUACAUGAAAUACAGGUUUUGAUUCAUUUUGAUGUUAAUGGUUGGAAACAGUAGCUUGUUACUGGAAAAGCUUGUCUGUUUUGAAAGCAGCAUCAACAGUCAUGCCAAAAUAGUUAAGUUAGUAGUGUUUUUACUGUUUUGUUUUUACUUUACCUGUCAGAUAAUUUGGUUAAUGUAGGCAGUUUGAAAAGUGCAAAAUGUACCUUUAAGUGCGUCUGCAAAAGCACAAAACCACCAUUUUUUCAGUCCAGGGUUUUUUUUUUUUUUCAGUCAAAGUCCAGAAAAGUUUACACAAUGUCCUGCCUUACAAGAUGUCCAGUAUUUUUUUUUUUUUCUUGUCUUGCAUGUCAGACACUCAAAACUAUGUUUCACCUUCCCACCUUACAAACAACGCGAGCAUGUCCACCCCAUCGCCAGCUUAACCUGACACGCAUCUGUGCCGGUUUUUUCUUUUCUUUUUCCCCCGCUUGCUUUUUCUGGUUUGGUUUUGUUUUAAUCAGAUGGAGGGUCUCUACUGACGAUGUCACGUCUGGGCUCACACACGCACGCACGCUCAGAAGGACAGUGGGCUGUCCGGUGUAGCAUCAUUAGCUCAGCGGAGACGUGGCGGCCCUGACACAUGUCGAGCGGCGUGCAGCCAACCCACGGACGAGCACGAGUCGCUCCUGCAUAAUUUGAAGUCAUCCAUGGCAGUGCUUUGAGAAUCCUUCCCCGCGUUCCCCAUGACUUGAACGGAGCAUCGCUCAGCGCCGUGAUGGCUCUAUUCAUACUCAGACAGAAGCCCUGCUGGCCUGAGGGUCACAUGAGGACCUCUCCAUGACCCCUGACCACAGUUUGAACCAAGACCCUACAGUUCAUCCAUAUCUGCGGCUGUAGAGAAGGUCACUGCAGAGUUCAAAGACAUAACACGCAGAAUGAGGUGUAAAGAGAGACGGACUGGGAAGGACUGAUUGGAGAAGAAAGAGUGUGGGAGGAACAGAAAAAGAGAGAGAUUCAAUGUCCUCCAGGUGCCACUACUCGCAUGAUUUCAUCUCAGGGCCAUAAUCAACCCCCUUAAUGAAAUACGUAAUUAACAUAUUAUAAUUGUGGUAAGGAUGGUUUUGACAGAAAUCAUUUUCCAUAUCUAAUACUAUGCUAAUUUAAUCUGUUCCUCACUCCCCGACAUGACCCUCGCUGAUUAAGUUUCAUGGCAGAUUUCUUCCUCUGCCUGCCAUCGUGUGCGUGUGUGAGACUGAAAGUGUGUGCCUGUGUGCUUGUGUGAGCGGAUGUGUGUGUGUGGUCAGAUCCUGAUGGAUGGACGUUCUGGUGAAGUCUCUGUCUCAAACAUGGCUGUCAGAGUGAGCUGGGACAGACUGCAGCAGAUGGCAGAGAGAGGCAGGAGACUGGGAGAGUUACAGCAGGUCUGCCCUGCUCCACGUGGGAGGUGGAGAGCAGAGAGGAAAAAGGAUUUUAAAGUUUGGGGGAACAGAAAGGAGUGAGGCCUUAUGUUUCUCCUCGUAGAAUGAAUGCUUGCAGUGGCCAUGUAGAGAGGUUCACCAUCAGUUCCACCCAUGGCUGUGUACUGCUGGGCAACAGAGGUGGCACUACUGAGCUAAAAUCAGUGGUGAAAUUGUCAGAUGUUACCUGAAAUGAAACAACAAAACAAUUUGCUGGUCAACUUAUAGGGAAUUUUCAAUGGG